GGUUAAGCGACUAAGCGUACACGGUGGAUGCCUAGGCAGUCAGAGGCGAUGAAGGACGUGCUAAUCUGCGAUAAGCGUCGGUAAGGUGAUAUGAACCGUUAUAACCGACGAUUUCCGAAUGGGGAAACCCAGUGUGAUUCGUCACACUAUCGUUAAGUGAAUACAUAGCUUAACGAAGCGAACCAGGGGAACUGAAACAUCUAAGUACCCUGAGGAAAAGAAAUCAACCGAGAUUCCCCCAGUAGCGGCGAGCGAACGGGGAGCAGCCCAGAGUCUGAAUCAGCAUGUGUGUCAGUGGAAGCGUCUGGAAAGUCGCAGGGUACAGGGUGAUACUCCCGUACACGAAGAUGCAUUUGCUGUGAACUCGAAGAGUAGGGCGGGACACGUGGUAUCCUGUCUGAAUAUGGGGGGACCAUCCUCCAAGGCUAAAUACUCCUGACUGACCGAUAGUGAACCAGUACCGUGAGGGAAAGGCGAAAAGAACCCCGGCGAGGGGAGUGAAAAAGAACCUGAAACCGUGUACGUACAAGCAGUGGGAGCCUUCGUGAUGUGACUGCGUACCUUUUGUAUAAUGGGUCAGCGACUUAUAUUCUGUAGCAAGGUUAACCGUAUAGGGGAGCCGAAGGGAAACCGAGUCUUAACUGGGCGUUAAGUUGCAGGGUAUAGACCCGAAACCCGGUGAUCUAGCCAUGGGCAGGUUGAAGGUUGGGUAACACUAACUGGAGGACCGAACCGACUAAUGUUGAAAAAUUAGCGGAUGACUUGUGGCUGGGGGUGAAAGGCCAAUCAAACCGGGAGAUAGCUGGUUCUCCCCGAAAGCUAUUUAGGUAGCGCCUCGUGAAUUCAUCUCCGGGGGUAGAGCACUGUUUCGGCUAGGGGGCCAUCCCGGCUUACCAACCCGAUGCAAACUGCGAAUACCGGAGAAUGUUAUCACGGGAGACACACGGCGGGUGCUAACGUCCGUCGUGAAGAGGGAAACAACCCAGACCGCCAGCUAAGGUCCCAAAGUCAUGGUUAAGUGGGAAACGAUGUGGGAAGGCACAGACAGCCAGGAUGUUGGCUUAGAAGCAGCCAUCAUUUAAAGAAAGCGUAAUAGCUCACUGGUCGAGUCGGCCUGCGCGGAAGAUGUAACGGGGCUAAACCAUGCACCGAAGCUGCGGCAGCGAC
rnacentral:rRNA from 1 species